GGCAGGGGUAAAAUUUUGACUACUAAGACAUAAACAAAAUGGGUUUUAUUAUUGGUUGUAUUGUGGACUGUGACUUCAAAAGGCUCAAUUAAUUUGAAGUCCAUUAUUUUCAUCUUAAAAAAUGGCAUAACAAGAGCUACCUUGCUUUUAUUAUAAGGUUAUUAUAAAUAGCAACUGAAGUAUGUGUAAAAGUAUUUUAUACACUAUAAAGAGAUAAACUUAUGUGGAGCAUUACCAGUAUUGAACUGAAGCACAGAAGUUGACCAUUAGAAGAGAAAUAUGGCAUUUUAAAGAGGCAUCUGGCAAUGUGUCAUUUUUAAAGGUCAACUAACCUUGUUUGGCUCUGGAUUGUACAAUAGCCUUCUUCUGCAUUAAAAAAAAAUAUGUGACAGCCAAAAAGAAAGUGUGGUGCCUUCUAUCUUGAGACUAGUUAUACCCAGCAUAAUCUAGAGAAUUGAUAUGAUAAAUAAAGAAUGUGUUUCCCCAUUUGAUAUAAAAUAUUGAUAUAAUUUAGAACUCUGGAUCUAUGAAGUUAUCAGAGACACUGGUCUGAUCACAGAAUGUCAAAGAAGCUCCUCGAAAGAAACAACAGCCUUUCCUCUUACCUCUUUUGUUCUGCUCCAUAUGGGGAACAGCAGUGGAUACAUUGCCCCCAGAUACACAGUAAUUGCUUACAAAAAACAGGACAAUGCUACAAGCCAGAAUACAGAUCUGAAACAAAUAAAAUAAAAUGACGAGGUAAAAAUACCUACGCAUCAUGUAGAACAGAGUUUAUGAUAAUAGCAGCUUCCAUGUUUUGGAUUAAAGUUAAACCACAAUUAACAAGUCAAAAUUAAUGGAUUAUUUAAUACUUCUUUAUUGAGUAUUCAUGUCCUGACCCCAAGAUAGUUCUGGGAAUUUUAAAGAAUUGCUAGAUUUCUCAUUUUGCAGUGUUGUGGUAGAGUGUGUCAGACACUCUGAAAGUUCAGUUAAUUACCACAUCAGAGUAUCCAUCUUUCUGAUCCAGUGUCCUUAAUUUUUAUUGCAAUUUGAAAAUGAUAAAUUUCAAGGGGCUAGUUUAUAUGCUAUAACAAUCUAAGGAGACUUAAUGAGAAAUAUGCUCAUUGUAACUGGAGCUCACAUAAAAAUAAACUUCGGAUUAUAUAAGAAACAAUAUUUUUAUUUUAAAUAUUUUGUUUAAUCAAAUUCAAACAGAAAUAUAUCUUUAGCAUACAAUGAGUCAGUGGAUUUUGUGAUCUGCCUUUGUUUCUUCUUACAUUUAGAAAAUUUCAAUUUGAUCUCAACCAUCUCUCUAUAUGGCCAUUUAUUUACCCAUGUAGCAAUUAAAUUACACAUAGUAAAACCCUGACUUUUGUAAUUUUAUUUUUUGGUUCACAUAUGUUGUUUUGGUAUAGAAUUACACAAAGGAUAAAGAAGGCAUUUCUUAAC
rnacentral:lncRNA from 1 species